rnacentral:tRNA from 1 species
UGAGGGUUCAAGUCCCUCUAUCCCCA